GCAAAAUCAGGUUCUAUUAAUACGGUACCGUUUUUUAGGGAAAUUAAAAGGAGAAGACGCAUCUCUCCAUCUGCAGAAAGCCAGAAACACGUUUUUGCACUUCUCCUAAACUCCCAAAUCCCCCUUCCCUCCUUCCUAAUCAAGCUUUUCCUUUUCCCAAUCAUCGUUCAAUGAUUCUUUGCAACGGCGACAACAUGAUGACCGAAGACAUUGAAUCUCAGAUGUAAAUCGAUUCGGUCCUGGCUUGAACUGCCCAAGUGACAGACCAACACAAUAUCACUGGGUCUCUCUCCCAUAUCUCAGUUCUCUCAUCCUCCUGUGAGUGUCGUCGGCGAUACUUUGAAUCUCUGGUGUUUCUAAGGUGAAUGUAUAUUUAUAUUGUAGCAAAUUAAUAUGGGGCCUGACUUGGAGAAAUCAAAAGUGUCUAAUGAAGCAUUCACUAAUAAAGAUAAUGGAAGUGUACCAGAAGAUAAACUUGUGCAAUGUAUAAGUAAUUAUGAGGACUAUAAUUUUCAUGACGAAGCUCUAAAUGAUGACCAAUAUAAGGUACCGGAUGGAAGUGAAGAUAUGGAAAUUAAUAUAAUUGAGUGUACAAAAUCUGGUGACAAUGGGCAAGUUGAAGCUAGAUGUGAGGAUACAACUGAGAGCAUGAGUUCUUUUGGUGACACAGUAUCUGAGACCGCAAAUGGUACAGCAUUGGGUGAUGGUGAAGUUGAGUCACAAUUAUGUGUCGGUGAUGCAUUGAUAUUUGAUAAAUAUGGUGGAGCAUUUCAAAUGAGGAACUUAUUAAUUUGAUCUAAUUGUUUUGUUGCACAUAUUUUUAAUGCUCAUGUGUUGGGAACCUGCCUUAUUCAUGAAGCCAGUGUUGAUCUCACUUCUCAAAGUCUCAAUGUGACUGCGUGCAUGUAACUACUGACCAGCUGGAGUGUCGAUGUUCACCAUGUAGUUGGAUUGGUCUCUAUGGACAUUAGAGAUACCCAUGAAAUGUUGCA
rnacentral:misc_RNA from 1 species